rnacentral:rRNA from 1 species
CCUACGGGAGGCAGCAGUGAGGAAUAUUGGUCAAUGGGCGCGAGCCUGAACCAGCCAAGUAGCGUGAAGGAUGACUGCCCUACGGGUUGUAAACUUCUUUUAUACAGGAAUAAAGUGAGGCACGUGUGCCUUUUUGUCUGUACUUUAUGAAUAAGGAUCGGCUAACUCCGUGCCAGCAGCCGCGGUAAUACGGAGGAUCCGAGCGUUAUCCGGAUUUAUUGGGUUUAAAGGGAGCGUAGAUGGGUUGUUAAGUCAGUUGUGAAAGUUUGCGGCUCAACCUUAAAAUUGCAAUUGAUACUGGCAGCCUUGAGUACAGUUGAGGGAGGCGGAAUUCGUGGUGUAGCGGUGAAAUGCUUAGAUAGCACGAAGAACGCCGAUUGCGAAGGCAGCUUACUAAACUGCCACUGACAUUGAUGCUCGAAAGUGUGGGUAUCGAACAGGAUUAGAUACCCGUGUAGUC